rnacentral:rRNA from 1 species
GUGGGGAAUAUUGGACAAUGGGCGAAAGCCUGAUCCAGCAAUGCCGCGUGAGUGAUGAAGGCCCUAGGGUUGUAAAGCUCUUUUACCCGGGAUGAUAAUGACAGUACCGAGAGAAUAAGCUCCGGCUAACUUCGUGCCAGCAGCCGCGGUAAUACGAGGGGAGCUAGCGUUGUUCGGAAUUACUGGGCGUAAAGCGCGCGUAGGCGGUUUUUUAAGUCAGAGGUGAAAGCCCGGGGCUCAAGCCCGGAAUAGCCUUUGAAACUGGAAAACUAGAAUCUUGGAGAGGUCAGUGGAAUUCCGGGUGUAGAGGUGAAAUUCGUAGAUAUUAGGAAGAACACCAGUGGCGAAGGCGGCUCACUGGUCCGGUACUGACGCUGAGGUGCGAAAGCGUGGGGAGCAAACAGGAUUAGAAACCCGGGUAGUCC